GGAGCCAGAGAUGCCAAACAGGGUCCUCCCCGGAGCUCGUAGUUUGCGGUGGGCAAUGACAGAGCUGUGAGUCUCCUCUGGAUCCAAAAAGGCCACCUCUUUCCCCAAGCUGUGCACCUACCCACAGGUGACAGCAUGCAGUGGGCACGCGUGCAGGGGUGACUGUUCAACAAAUCGCCACGAACUCUGUGAAUACUCGCUAAACACAGGCCAGGCCCCAGGCCUUGUGCUGGGUGAUGGCAGGACAAAGGACACGCAGACACGGUCCCAGUCUGAUGGGACACUGAGCCAUCACAGCACAGGGGCCGCGGGGGCCCAGAGAAGGCCUCUCCCUUGGCCCAGAAGACUUCCUGAAAGAAGGUCCCUUUGCGCUGGAUUCUAAAGGACAAACAGAGGCGCGGGGAGAGGGAACAGCGGGAACAAAGGCCCAGGGGCAGGGAGGCCUCGGGUGCUGCACAACUGGAGCGUGAAGCGCUGAGGAAGAGAGCGAGCUGCAGCGGCCUGCGGGGUCGGAGGGAGGUGAGGACUGUGCCCCGGGGCCCGGGCAGCACAUGCACCCCUCCCCCAGCCCCAAGCUUCCCACACUGACUCCGGGGCACCUCGCCCCCCCUCGCUUCUCUGCCUCCUUCGCUGGUUCCUCCUGUUUCCCAGGGCCAGCCCUCUGCCCCUUCUCCAUCCGCUCUCCAGACCAUCUCCUGGCUUCAAAGAGCAGCUGAAUCUGAGCAGCUGAAUCGAGCUCUGUUUCGAGCCCAGUCCUGCCUACUUGACGUCUUUACCUGGAUGCGGAGCAAGCAUCUCAUGGAGCAUCACCGCAACCGCUCAUUCCACAGCCUGCCCCGCCUCAGAGAAGGGCAGCUCCAGCCUCCGGGUCUGUUUUGUUCACUUCUGUAAUCAUGCAGGGCCUGGUGCUCCAUACUUGCAGGAAGGGACAGAAGGGAGAGUUUUCAGGAUGCUCAGAAGUGAGAUCUCUGAGGCGUCGGAAGGGCUGAGGAGGCAGGAAACCGAACAUCCAGGUAACAGAUGCCAAGGACUUGGGCCCCACUGGCACCAGGGAUGGAGUGGGAAGUGCCAGUGCGGGCAGAAUGGACCCUUGUUCUGGCCUUUUGUUUCCUGCACCCGUGCCCAAUGAGCCCAGGGCAAGAGUCCGGCACAUCUGCGUCUCGCCCUUUCUCCUGCCCUGCCCAGCCCCGUCCCAGCCCCGGGCACCCCAGCUCCACUCAGUUCAGGGCAGAGCCCUUGCAGAAGCAGGGGAUGUGCUCUGGGCUCUGGCCCCUGAGUCUGAGAAAUCCUCAAGGGACAGGGAGCAGAGGCUUGGGGUGGGGCGAUCCCCAGGGUCACCCCCAGACCAUGAAGCUGAACAGCCCCGGCCAAGCCCAAGCUGGAGUCCUGCUCUGCUCUGUGCCUUGGCUGUCGCUGACUGCCCACCCCGCACGCCUCCAACCUCUUCUUGCCCUCGGCCAGACCCUGCUGGCAUCAGCUGGUUUGCUCAAGGCUCUCAGUGCCCAGCCAGAAGGGACAGGGUGGGCAGUCUCUAGCUAGGUCAGCUUUUCCUGACUCAGGCCUGGCCCUCACUCGGGGCCCUCAGGCUGGCAGGCCCCUUGGCUAAGGCAUCGUGGGCAGUGAUGACCUGUGGGAAAGCAGCUGCCAGGCUGGGACCCGGCCCGUCCGCUUGCACCCGUUUCAGCGAUGGGCUAAAGCCCUUCUCCAUGAAAGAGGAGGAAUGACAGCCGCCUUCUGCCUCUCACUCUGGGGCCCUCUCCUGGCUGCACAACCUGGGUCUGGCCUGGCCCUGUUCUUGAUCAGCCUGCGCGGGGCAGGGAGGCGAAUGCGCUCCGGGGACAGGAGCCUGACCUCUCCUCAAAGAUCUGCCGAGAAGGCCAACCCUGAACCAGCCCUUGCCACGGCUGCCUCUGCUCCCACCUGCCCCCGGGUCCUGCUCCAGGGAACUAUGGAGGUUCGACGGUCAUCCCUGCCUCAUCCAUGGCCCGGCGCUGGCCCGGCACACGACAGUUGCUCGGAGCUCUUCAAAGUGUGCGUUCAGGAUGCAGCUUGCACCAUCUUCUGAGUCAAGUCCAGGAGUUCCCGUUGCGCCUCAGUGGUGACGAACCUGACUCGAAUC